AACCCUGAACGGUGGAUCACUUGGCUCGUGAAUCGAUGAAGAACGGAGCAAAAUCCGCGUCGACAUGUGAACUGCAGGACACAUGAACAUCGAUAUUUCGAACGCACAUUGCGCUCUGGGGAACUCCGUUCCCGGAGCACGUCUGUCUGAGGGUCG
rnacentral:rRNA from 1 species